GAACCAGCUUGUCGGCCUGGUGAAGACAACACGAGCCAUGCCACUGCUAGCCUUCAAUGAACUCAAAUAGAGCAAGGAAGGAAUCCAGAAUCCAGACUGUUUAAGCCAACGGAUACAUUCUUACUGCACGUGAAACUGAUACGACAGGUUGAACAAGAUAAAGGAAGACUUAAUGUCAGACAAAGGAAUUUUUGUUGUAUACUAUUCUCCAUACAAUUGGGAAAAUUACAUACCCCAGUAUGAAUGCUAACCAGGGUUCAAUAACUGAAUGAAAACAAGAAAAUUUUUAAUAUACUACUACAGCCCUGAAGGGAUGAAAUGAAACGGACACCCAGACGUAAGCUUCUCUACCAACCCUCAGCUGGGGCCCCCACACCAUGGAAAAGGAAGGUGGUGUCCCUGUGAAGUACUUUAGAAUACAAUCAUAAUUACCUUUGCAAAAAAAAA